rnacentral:rRNA from 1 species
UACGUAGGGGGCUAGCGUUGUCCGGAUUUAUUGGGCGUAAAGAGCGUGUAGGCGGCCAGGUAGGUCCGUUGUGAAAACUCGAGGCUCAACCUCGAGACGUCGGCGGAAACCCUCUGGCUAGAGUCCGGAAGAGGAGAGUGGAAUUCCUGGUGUAGCGGUGAAAUGCGCAGAUAUCAGGAAGAACACCCGUGGCGAAGGCGGCUCUCUGGGACGGUACUGACGCUGAGACGCGAAAGCGUGGGGAG